UGCCUAACACAUGCAAGUCGAACGCGGUUGUCCCGCAAGGGAUAACUGAGUGGCGAACGGGUGAGUAACGCGUGGGUGACCUACCUUCGAGUGGGGGAUAACGUCCCGAAAGGGACGCUAAUACCGCAUAACAUCCUGUUUUUGAACAGAUGGAGAUCAAAGCCGGGGAUCGCAAGACCUGGCGCUUGAUGAGGGGCCCGCGUCUGAUUAGCUAGUUGGUGGGGUAAUGGCUCACCAAGGCGACGAUCAGUAUCCGGCCUGAGAGGGCGGACGGACACACUGGGACUGAGACACGGCCCAGACUCCUACGGGAGGCAGCAGUGGGGAAUUGUUCGCAAUGGGCGCAAGCCUGACGACGCAACGCCGCGUGGAGGAUGAAGGUCUUCGGAUUGUAAACUCCUGUUGCCCGGGACGAAUGGCUCCGACCUAACACGUCGGAGUGUGACGGUACCGGGUGAGGAAGCCCCGGCUAACUCUGUGCCAGCAGCCGCGGUAAUACAGAGGGGGCAAGCGUUGUUCGGAAUUACUGGGCGUAAAGGGCGCGUAGGCGGCCUGUUAAGUCGAACGUGAAAUCCCCGGGCUCAACCCGGGAACUGCGUCCGAUACUGGCAGGCUUGAAUUCGGGAGAGGGAUGCGGAAUUCCAGGUGUAGCGGUGAAAUGCGUAGAUAUCUGGAGGAACACCGGUGGCGAAGGCGGCAUCCUGGACCGAGAUUGACGCUGAUGCGCGAAAGCCAGGGGAGCAAACGGGAUUAGAUACCCCGGUAGUCCUGG
rnacentral:rRNA from 1 species